rnacentral:rRNA from 1 species
UACGGGGGGAGCAAGCGUUGUUCGGAUUUACUGGGCGUAAAGGGCGCGUAGGCGGCCUGUGCAAGUCAGUUGUGAAAUCUCCGAGCUUAACUCGGAACGGUCAACUGGUGCUGCUCGGCUAGAGUGCGGAAGGGGCAACUGGAAUUCUUGGUGUAGCGGUGAAAUGCGUAGAUAUCAAGAGGAACACCUGCGGCGAAGGCGGGUUGCUGGGCCGACACUGACGCUGAGGCGCGAAAGCUAGGGGAGCGAACGGG